GCCUGUUGCAAAGAGCUUUAUAGGUAUUGUCUUUAAUCCUUAGCAGGACCCUCUGAGAUGAGUGCUAUUCUCCCUAAUUUACAGAUGAGAAACUGAGGCUCAAGAGGUAUGUGAGCAUGCUUCUGCUCAGUAGAAGAAUUAGAGCCAGUUUGAGAUCACGUCCUGUUUAGCAAUAAGGACUAUGGGCUGGGCCUCUGUGUAAAACUUCUUUUCAUGCUAAUACUUUGCAAAAUAUCAAAGGUCUAAGUGAUUUAUUCACUUACCCUUUGGCUUCCCUCUGCUGUAGGAUGCUUGCUGGUGGGUGAGAGUCUUGCUGGCAAGUCUCGAACUUCCUGUCGAUUUCCUGAGGAUUUCCAUGCCAGGGUAUUACACACACAGGUCAUCCUGUGUGUCAUAAUGGGAGAAGCUUGAGCACCGUCACACCAUCCUGCUGCCCCCAAGAGAAGCAGCUCAGGCUCCUGGUGGUUUUUCUUGCAUGUUGUGUUCAGUCGAAGCAAUCUGUUUCUGAUGACCUGGCUAAAGAAAAUUAUGGGGUGCUUUUUCUCCCAGGAAACAUAAUUCUAGUCAUAGGUAUUGCCACUUUUCUUUGGUGCCUCACUGGCCUGCAAGCCCCUCCUGGAUCCCCUGCUGGACUGUGUCUUCCUGAGUUACCGUGACCCAGCUGCUGUACCUACUCCUUGUUGAAAAAUAAAGAAGAGUAGAAGUUGGGGACAACACACACCACAGACUUGACCCAAAUGCCUUUCUCCAUGGCAGAUCCAAGACUCCCUUUACUUUUCCAAAAGAACAGACGCCACAGUCAAUUUUGCACCCUAACGGGGCCGUGGGAUGAGUUUGGUGAGCCGCUUUCUAUUUUCCAGAACUAAUUAGAGAUAGAUAAAUUUAAAUGUUCUGGAAGCCAUCCAUAAAACACGAUACCAUCACUAGCGAUCCUGUGAUUUUCCUUUCGUAGGAAGGCCCGUGAGUCCUACGAAUUAGGCUCUGGCUAAUUGGUGGGGUGGGGCGGAUGAUACUAGCCCAUGCGUGUUCACGUGAGCCGUUGGGUCUUCCCUCCCCUCCGAGAUCAAUUACCUUGGCCCGGUGGGAGUAUUCACUCCCCAGAAACUGGCAAACGCCGUGUAAGCGCUGAUUAGAGCAUUCAUCAACAUCCCCCUCCUCGGUCUGUUCGACAAGAACUGGGUCCCGCUGUCCUUGAGGCAGGCGUACACACGCGCGUGCACACACGCGCACACACACA
rnacentral:lncRNA from 1 species